rnacentral:sRNA from 1 species
AUUGUUUCCAUCCUGGAAUAUUCUGAAACAACUGCGCCUGGUCCACCACGCCUAUUAUUUAUUUUCUCUUCUCCUGCCAGGAAUGUGAGGCCAAAGAUGACCAUUUAUGUCUGUCAGGAGCUGGAGCAGAAUCGAGUGCCCCUGCAGCAGAAGCGGGACGGCAGUGGUGACAGCAACCUGUGUGUGUACCACGCCAUCUUCCUGGAAGAGCUGACCACCUUGGAGCUGAUUGAGAAGAUCGCCAACCUGUACAGCAUCUCCCCCCAGCACAUCCACCGAGUCUACCGGCAGGGCCCCACGGGCAUCCAUGUGGUGGUGAGCAACGAGAUGGUGCAGAAUUUCCAAGAUGAAUCCUGUUUUGUCCUCAGCACAAUUAAAGCUGAGAGCAAUGACGGCUACCACAUCAUCCUGAAAUGUGGACUCUGAGCAGCAGUGGGCCUCGUACCUAUCUCCAGCUCCCAGCCCUGUGGAUCCCCAUGGAUGUAGAAAUUGCCCCACUGUAAGCUGUGGCCUCACCAGGCAAGCUGAGGCCAGGAGGGACCCUACCCAGUCUGUGAAAGCUACAGAGCACCAACCAGCAGAAGCCUGUGGACACCAAGUACG